GACGAACGCUGGCGGCGUGCUUAACACAUGCAAGUCGAACGGAAAGGCCCUGCUUUUGUGGGGUGCUCGAGUGGCGAGCGGGUGAGUAACACGUGAGUAACCUGCCCUUGACUUUGGGAUAACUUCAGGAAACUGGGGCUAAUACCGGAUAGGAGCUCCUGCUGCAUGGUGGGGGUUGGAAAGUUUCGGCGGUUGGGGAUGGACUCGCAGCUUAUCAGCUUGUUGGUGGGGUAGUGGCUUACCAAGGCUUUGACGGGUAGCCGGCCUGAGAGGGUGACCGGCCACAUUGGGACUGAGAUACGGCCCAGACUCCUACGGGAGGCAGCAGUGGGGAAUAUUGCACAAUGGGCGGAAGCCUGAUGCAGCAACGCCGCGUGCGGGAUGACGGCCUUCGGGUUGUAAACCGCUUUCGCCUGUGACGAAGCGUGAGUGACGGUAAUGGGUAAAGAAGCACCGGCUAACUACGUG
rnacentral:rRNA from 1 species